rnacentral:SRP_RNA from 1 species
GCCUGUAGUCCCAGCUACUUGGGAGGCUGAGGUGGGAGGAUCGCUUGAGCCCAGGAAUUCUGGGCUGCAGUGUGCUAUGCCGAUUGGGUGUCCACACUAAGUUCGGCAUCGAUAUGGUGACCUCCCUGGAGCGGGGGACCACCAGGUUGUCUAAGGAGGGGUGCACUGGCCCAGGUCAGAAACAGAGCAGAUAAAAACUUCCGUGCAGAUCAGUAGUGGGAUUGCGCCUGUGAAUAGCCACUGCACUCCAGCCUGGGUAACAUAGCAGGAUCCCAUCUCA